rnacentral:rRNA from 1 species
CUGACUGAAGAGUUUGGUCCUGGCUCAGGACGAACGCUGGCGGCGUGCUUAACACAUGCAAGUCGAACGGGGUGUUUAUUUCGGUAAACACCAAGUGGCGAACGGGUGAGUAACGCGUAAGCAAUCUACCUUCAAGAUGGGGACAACACUUCGAAAGGGGUGCUAAUACCGAAUGAAUGAGAGAUGACCGCAUGGAUAUUUCUCUAAAGGAGGCCUCUGAAAAUGCUUCCGCUUGAAGAUGAGCUUGCGUCUGAUUANCUAGUUGGUGANGGUAAAGGCCCACCAAGGCGACGAUCAGUAGCCGGUCUGAGAGGAUGAACGGCCACAUUGGGACUGAGACACGGCCCAGACUCCUACGGGAGGCAGCAGUGGGGAAUCUUCCGCAAUGGGCGAAAGCCUGACNGAGCAACGCCGCGUGAACGA